rnacentral:rRNA from 1 species
AUGCUGGAUCGCCUCACCCUCCAUGACGAUGAACUAGAUGACCUUGUCUGGGAAGAUGAACCUGACACUGAAGAAGUAAGGCCCAAGUGGUUGGCUCUAUGCCGCCUCCUGACAUCCAAAUCCUUUAGCCAGAGCGCUCUGAUCGGGGAUAUGAAGGCUGCAUGGAACCCGGCUCAGCCGGUGGUGUGGCGGAGGAUAAACUCAAACUUGUUUUCCAUACAGUUCAACUGUCUUGGUGACUGGAAUAAGGCUAUGCACAAGGGUCCUUGGGAUUUUAAUGGCUAUGCUGUAAUCCUGGCUGAAUAUGAUGGCUUCGCAAUUGCCAGACCUAGCUAG